rnacentral:lncRNA from 1 species
UUUAUUAUUACUAUGAAACAUGUGGAAAAUAUAUUGGAGAUGUUUUUUCGUUUUUCUUUUGCUUUUAUUGUCCCUUAAAUGGCAUUUUAAGUCAUUUUGUAGACUAACAAAUAACUUUUCUUACAAUAGGUUCGAGAGCUUGAGAAUCAAUUAGCGGAGGAAAGAAAAACCAGACUAAAGCAGGAAACACGAGCUUUUGCAUCAGAAGCCAUCUCUGUGUCCUUCAAAGUUAAGGUUGCUGUUGCGAAAAAUCACCAAUCUCAUGCCUCCACCAUGUCCUCUACAAAAAUAGAACCGGUUCUGUUUUAUCUUCAAAGCAUGACAAAGAAAACAAUCCAAGAACCACAGCUGCAGGAACAAAUACAAAAAGCCUUAUGAAACCCAGACGUAUGUCUGUUGCAGUCAGACCUCCUCCUCCAAUUUCAGCACAGGUUUUUCAGCCUAAGAGACGGGUGUCCAUUGCUAGCUAUCGUUUAGAGCCAACCUCAAACAUGACACCUCUUCAUGGGGAGUCAUUUGUCAUGGGGAGUCCUCCGCCACAAGCAGGUUCUUGGAAGCCAAAGCACCCAACAGUUGUUGCACUGCAACGAAAAUCUCUGGUGUGGAGCCCGCUAAAGUUAAGGAGCUUUCAAAACAGGAGACCAUCUUUGGUGCCCUAUCGAUCAUCAUCAACUAAUGAGGUGCAAUAAAACUUAGUCUUCAUUUUCAUGAUAAAUAGUAGGAGUAUACUUUUUUUUUCUUGAUUCCCCUCUUCCCAUUUUUCUUACAUGAAUUUUAUCAUUUCUCCUCUGGAUAUUAAUCGCAAUUGUAUGCUACUUGCCUACUCAUUCGCGGUUGUAUGUUAUUUGCUUUCCUACAUGAGUCAACAACUCCAUUCAACAGUGAGAAACACAGAAAAAAAAACACAGGAGUUUUUCGAUGCUUUAACUCAUCUUGGCCAGUGGGACAUCCUGCUUUUUGACUAAUUUAUACAAGAUAGAGCUCUACAUCAACAAUUCAUAAGAAAUUGGCAUGCCACUCUCUCAUCAAUUAUUUAAGAUAUGAUAGAGGAGAUAAGAAAAUGAUUGCUAUUAUCGACCAUCUUCCUCUCCAGUCUCUGUCUCAACUAAAAAUAGUUUAAGCAAAAGUCAUGUUAAUUCCCAGUAAUCCAAUCAACUGCUUUCGAGUUCUCCUAAUUAUUUAAGACACUUUAAAUUUAAUUAAUUUUAUUGUUUUAAGUAUCAACAAUUAUUGUUUUUUAUCUGUUCGUAAACAAUAAUAUAACAAAGGCUAGAGUGUGAGUGGAUGAAUCGCAACCUUUCAAUAACUUCAAGCCACAAAAUCUUAAUCUAAACCAAAACGCAACAUCUUAUAUGAUUUAAGAAUCAAUCGUAAAAGGACAUGUUAGUAACGAGUUUAAGGGCAUGUUUAUUUCUACAUUUCAAAAGUGUUUUCGAAAAAGAAUUGAAUUUUUUUAAUUUUUUAUUAACUUUAAAUUAAUAUGUUUUUAGUGUUUUUAAAUUAUUUUGAUGUGCUAAUGUUAAAAAUAAUUUUUUAAAAAUAAAAAAACAUUAUUAACAUGUAUUUUUACAUGAAAAAUUAUUUGAAAAGCAAUCGCAACCUGUUAAACAUACUUAAUGUUAUUAAAGGACAUGUACAAUUAAAGCUCUUUGACGUGAUUAGCCUAAUCAGUCAUUUUAAAUAUGUGAUCAAUUCAUAAUAAUAAAAAAUGGUAUAAAACAAUGUUGAUGUAAACUUUGAUUAAAAAUCAAUAACGUUAACGUGAAACAACAAUAAGUCUUUAUAUAAACUAAAUAAUAAAGAAGUAAAGUAGAUAUAUUUCAGAAUAAAAAAAUGAUUCUAAAAAUUUAAUAGAAUAAUAUGAUCUAUGCAAGGAUGACACAAGAAAAACUAGGAUUUUAAUGUAAAAUCAUUUAUAAAUUAGUUUUGUUUUAUUGAACAUAACUCUCAAUCUAAUUAUUAAAUAAAGAUAAAAUUUUAUGAGAAAUCUUCUAACCUAUUACUUUAUUAUAAGUUAAAAUUUUAGAUCAAGUUCAGAAAAAUUGUACAAGAAUGGACAAAAAAAUAACAUGUAAACUUAUUAAUGGUAUUUUUGUAAAUAAACUAGAUGAGCUGGAAAUUUCAAUUUCUUCUUCUCCUGGGCAAUCCCUACAGAAGAAAUUGUCCUUUUUUAUAUUGUGCUUCUCACAUGUCUUGAGAAAUGGGUUAUUCUCCAUCAUUAAUUACUACUAUCUCUUAUAUCAAACACUUUUUCAUGAUCCCCCCCUCAAAGAAGUAGCUCCUCCUUGCUAGAAAAUUAAUUGUGAAUUUUGAACAUUAUCGGCUAUGUAUGGAUGCAUAUAGUGAGUUUUUUUUUUAUUUAUUCUUUUUAAAUGCAUUUGUUUUUCAUUUACAUCCAUUAAAAUUGGGUUAAUUAAAUAUUAGACUUUAUAAUUCAUUUUGGUUUGUUUUCUAUGAAGAUAUCCCGACUUCAUGACUUGAGUCACUGGUUUGGUUGGUUAACUCAGGUUGACUCGAGUGGUUUUUCAUGUUUUUUGUUAAUUAUUUUUUUUUAUAAUUUUUUUUAAUAUUAGAUUGAUUAGGAAUUGAGUUUUCAAUAUUAGAUAAUUAUCUACUAUUAACUUUAAAUUAAAAUAGGAGAGGUUUUAACUGUACCCUUCGUCACUAAGCACUAUUCAUUGAAAUAAUGAUUUGCUUCUUUUUUUCUAUGCUUUUUUUUUUCAAUCAAUGUUUUUUUUUAAUUUUAUCAUUUAAUAUUAAAUUAUUUUUUUAUUGAAUUAUUUCACUUUCAUGAUACAAAUUGCCAGUCUAACGGUUGACCGGGUUGACUCAAUUUUUUUCUUCAAUUUCAUCACUUAAUAUUGGGUUGAUCUGAAAUAUGAUUUGUUUUGUUAACUUUCUAUCGUGUUAUUUUAGCCUCAUGGCCGGAGAAUCGUGCUUAACAAGUUAACCCAAGUUGACUCAAAUAGUUUUUUAUGUUUUUUUAAUUAUUAUUUUUUUAAUUUUAUCUUUCAACACUAAGUCAAUUGGAAAUUGAUUUUUAUAUAUAAAAAAAAUAUUUGCUUUCUAUAGAGAUAUCAAGGUUGCAAGUUUUGGUAUUUUAACACUAUUCUGUCAAUGGAAAUUUUACUAACUAAUUCACCGAUGGAAUGUUUUUGUUGGUAUACCAUUCGUCGGUAAUUCCACUAUUUGUCGCUAAUUCUAUCAGAAUUUUUUUAAAAAAAACAAUGGUUUUACAAACAUUUAUGAUCUUUCAUUCAAGUAGAAAAAGAACACACUUCUAUUUUAAAAGAUUCCGGAAGACCACCAGUAUCCAUAAGGAAAUCACCAGGAAAUGACUGCUUGGCUGUGUUCAAAAAUCAAAAGGGCACACAGCAAGUCAAGCGUACGCGUACACGACGCUUUAAAGUCAAGCUAGCGUUAAACACAAUAAUGAUUGAUAUUUUAAAACCAUAAACAUUCCUUCCUGGAAACCGACCUCAACUUUUCCUCACCGACAAAAGUAAAGAAAAGGAAAGGAAGAUUGAUGACUAAUUCCGUUUUGAAUUGAGGUUGAAAUUUCUUUUUUCGUUAAAAUUUAAUUUUUUUUAGUAUUUUUAUUUAUGGAUAUUAAAAAUAAUUUUUAAUAUAUUUUCAAAUAAAAAAAACAUUUUAUAACACUAUAACAUUAAUAAACCGGCUGCCGGCUGUAAGCGCUUCAAUGUUUUAUACAAUUUGUGGGGUUUGGUUGGAGAUAAUAAUUACCGCGUAUUCCUCCAUUAAUUCAACUUUUUAAAAUAAUUAAUUACAAAAAAAUGUUGAGUCUUUGUCUGGUGAGUACUCUAUUAAAUUAUUAAUUUUCAUUCCCAACUUAUAAUUGGUUAAUUAGAUAAUCUCCAUUUGCUCAGCGUAUGUAGUAAACAAUAUAUAGUAGUUUGAUGUUAUACACAUUCCUUCCAGGAAACUGACCUCAACGUCUCUUCCAUGGCACAUUAAGGCACACAGAGGGUUAAAGAUCAACAAGCUGCCCUUGAUUAAUAACUGGUACAACUUUCUUCCUAUUCGUCCAUUAAUUUCUCUCUGUUUUGGGUUAGAUUCCACUUGUUCGGCCAUUGCUGUAGCAUCAUUCAUGCUGUUUAUAUAUGUUAUUGAGUUUUCCCUUUUAGCUCAAAAUGACUCUGUAAUUAAUUAAGAUCUCAGCUAAUUUCCCACUGGCUCCUCUCUUUAUAACUUUCAUUGCUCUUCUGUUUGAGGGAACUCUCCAAGAUUCUUGAGUGCAUGGAGACCAAACAACAGAUGGUCUUACCAGUAUUUUACCGACUUGAUCCAAGCCAUGUUCAAAAUCUGACUGGGAGCUAUGGAGAUGCACUUUGCAAGCAUGAAAGAGAUUGCAGUUCUGAAGAAGUAGAGAGUUGGAGACGUGCUUUGAAAGAAAUAGCUAAUCUCAAGGGCUGGGAUUCAAACGUCAUUAAGUAAGUUAUUAAUUUAGUUACAGCAUAUUAAACCCCAACUUAUUUAAACCAUUUUGUUCGAGAAUCAAUAUUGUGUUUGAUGUUAUGAUAAAAUUUCUUAGGUCUUAGCCUUUGUUCUUUAUUUAUUAUGCACUGCAGGGAUGAGACCAAGCUAAUUCAGGAAAUCGUUUCCGACAUUCAAAAGAAAUUGAACCAUGAGCUGUCCCUCUCAUUUGAUUCAAAACGCCUUGUUGGAAUGGCAUCACGCGUUGAAGACAUCGAAUCAUUACUAUCCUUGGGAUCAACCGGUGUGCUCAUCGUGGGAACUGGGGGAUGGGUGGUAUAGGUAAGUCAACAACGGCUGAAGUUGUGUAUCAUCGAAACUGUAGUAAAUUUGAAGGCCAUUGCUUUUUCCAAAAUGUUAGGGAAGAAAAUUCUUGGUGAAGUAUUAGAGAAGAAAGAUAUGACUAUACGCACAAAAGUGCUACCCCCGGCCAUUAAGCGAAUGCUUCAAAGAAAAAAAGUCCUCAUAGUUCUUGAUGAUGUCAAUGAACCACAAGAUUUAAAAUAUUUAGUAGGAGAGGAUGGUUUGUUUGGCCAAGGAAGUAGAAUCAUGGUGACAAGUAGAGAUAGGCAAGUGCUUUUAAAUGCAUGUGAUGAAGACAAAAUUUACGAGGUUAAAAUUUUAGAUGAAGACGAUGCACUUCGACUCUUCAGCUUACAUGCUUUUAAACAAGAUCGAUCGUCCCAUAGAAGGAUAUACAAUGAAAGGAGUGUUGAAUACUGGGAAAGUAAGGUGGCACAGCUACGAACAAAUGGUAGCGAGGACAUUAAGAAACAUUUGGAAAUGUGUUAUCAUGAAUUAAAUCAGACAGAAAAAAAAAUAUUUCUUGAUAUAGCAUGUUUCUAUGGACAUUAAGAAACAUUUGAAGGGAUGUAUAAUUUAAGAUUGCUCAAAAUCUACUACCCAUCUUUCUUAGAGAAUCCCUCGAAGGAGCAAAUUAUGAAUGGAAAGAGGGUCGGAAUCCACCUUCCACGAGGGCUUCACUUUCUUUCAAGUGAGCUAAGGUUUCUUUACUGGUAUAAUUACCCUUUGAAAUCCUUGCCAUCAAAUUUUUUUCCCUGAGAAACCUUUUCAACUUGAAAUGCCUUGUAGCCAGCUUGAACAACUUUGGAAUGAAGGCAAGGUAAAUAUGCUUUAUCACCCUUCUUUUUCAAAUAUAGGACAAUUUUGAAAUUAUUGUAACAUUUAUCUUUUCUUACAUUAAUUUUUUUUUAUUUACAACCACUAGAGCUUCCCAGAUUCGAGAGUUUCUGUACUUUUCCAUCAUCAAUUGGGUGCCUCUCUCAACUUGUUAGAUUAAACUUAUCUUCAUGUGAAAGUCUUGCUAGUCUGCCAGACAAUAUUGGCGAGUUGAGAUCUCUCAAAUCGCUUAAUUUUAAUAGUCAUUCAGGAUUAGCAAGUCUACCAGACAACACUGACGCAAUGAAAUCCCUUAAAAAACUUGAUCUUAGUGGUUGCUCAGGACUAAAAAGUCUACCAGAUAACAUUGACACAUUGAAAUCCCUUAAAAUACUUGAUUUUAAUAGUUGUUCAGGACUAGCAAAUCUACCAGACAACAUUGGCAUGUUGAAAUCUCUUAAAAACCUUGAUCUUAGAGGUUGCUCAAGGCUAGCAAGUCUCUAAAUUCUUUGGCAUGAAAGAUCGCAUGUUUCAUUCACCUUGACCAAAAUGAUUUGUUCUUUUUUCAUUUUGCUAACAGUGCUUUGUUGCUUGUAAACAGAAUAUGGACAGAGUAAUGAAGUAUCAGUUAGAGGAGACGUAUACAGCUUCGGUAUCAUGCUGCUGAUACUCAGAUAAUCAGAUAAAUGUUGAAUGAGUUUGGUGAGAUGUUAUCAGAUAAUCAGCCUGCACUUGCACAUAUAAGAUGUUUGAGGCAUAGCUAUCAAGGUUUACAUCGUUUAUUCCUCUUCCUUGCUUGCUUUAACAAAAAUAAUAUUUAUGUUAUGCGUUGAGGAAUUUAGAGCUCCACCUGGAAACAUUUAUGGGGUUAAAAAAAAUUGAUAUUUCUCUAUAAUCAGCACAAGGCGAGUUGAGAAGUAAAUUGAUUAACACAAUUAACCGAAUUGACUCUCAAACUUUUAUUUUACUCUAAUUAAGUCCCUCGUUGUAUUAAUUAAACUAAUCCAAUGUUCAAACAAGUCCCUAAAACUUAUUAAUUCUUCCACUUUUAGCCAAAUUAACUUCCAACCUUAUUACUCUUUCAUUUUAGCACCUGAUUAAGCCCAUCCAAAGUACAAUUAGGUCCUUGGAUUCUUUGAUUUUUGCCAUUUAGCCCCCAUCUUCAGCUUUCUUCUUAAUGAAGCAUCUAUCAAAAUUGGACCGCUAAACUUUACAACCUUGUCCAUGUUGGUCCUCAAAUCUUUAAUUUAUUCAGCCUUAAUCACAUUUUCAAUCUGCUUUCUAAAUUUCUUCAACAAGACCUCAAAUUAUCCAUCUACCUAUCAACUAUAAAUUAAAUAUUUGUCCAAUCAUGAUUCAAUGCUUUAUUUUUUAUUACUGUUACUUUUUUUAAUUCAGAAUUGGGUGAAGACACAGAUAGUUGCAUGCAAACUGAAAUCUUGCCGUCCUCUAUGGAAUGUGAUCUAGCAAUAGUAUGAUCAAAACUUUUAGUAGUUAUUGCAAGUUUUCCUAAAAAAAUGUUCGAUGGUUUUGUUUUUAUAAUGUGUUCUUCUCCCUCUCUCUCCCUCUAAACAGUUAGGUGGCAGCAUUAAAUCUAUUUUAACUUGGAAUUGGUCUCUUUCUUGCUGCUUAAGAAAAAUGCAAAAGGUGAAAGAAAAGAAAUAAAAACUGAUUUUGAGUGAUCAAGUUCUCGAUGGGAUCAUUGUUCCACAAGAUCAAUGCCAUUGUUCCACAAGAUCAAUGCUCUCUCUGCCACCUACAAAGCAUCAGUUCCAUAAACUGUUUUUAACAAAGGAAAGAGCAAAGAAUAUAAGCUAUCAUCUCAACAAGUUUUUCAGUGAAAAACUAAGCCUUGGUGGCACACAGGCCUUGCUCCAGAUUGAACACCAAGUCUGGAUUAAAAACUCUGAAUCAUAUGUGAAGAGAAAAGUAGUAAAUUCUUCAUUCGAAACUUCAAUCAUGGUCUAAAAAGGGUUGUUUGGAAAAAGAUUCCGGAAGACCACCAGGAAAUUACUGCUUGGAUGUGUUCAAAAAUCAAAAGGGCACACAGCAAGUCAAGCGUCCUGUAAAAAUGAUUGCUACUUGGCGGUGAGGAAAAGUUGCUACUAUCAACUUUUCCUCACCGCUAAGUAAAGAAAAAGAAAAAGAAGAUAGAUGACUAAUCUUUUGGAAUUGAGGUUGAUUUUUGUUAAUUUUUGUUAAAAUUUGGAUUUGUUUAGUAUUGUUAAAAUUUAGAUUUGUUUAGUGUUUUUGAAUUAUGUCAAAAUAUUUUUAAAAAAUAAAAAAAAUAUUAUAUUAAUAUAUUUUUUAAAUAAACACUUUAAAAAUCAAACUUUAAAUGAUUCCGGAAUUUCCCUGGCUAAUUGUGGCUUACUUAAUGGGUUGUGAAAAUCUUUUUUGAAGAAAGGUUUAUGAGAUAUUGAGUUGUCAAGGACUGUUUCUGAAUUUGUACCUACCGAUAUACAGAUUCCAAGAAACCCUCCAAUACUGUGUUUGAAAUAAAGAUGAUGAGAGGAUCAAUGUGAACUCCCCCCCUUAAUUGUGAGUUGGCUAUAGCAUCGUUUAAGUUGUUUUGAUCUUCUCUUAUUGUCUGAUCAUUCUAAUACACUCUUGUUUGAUCAUAUUUAGCCUUUAUUUAUGGGAUAUAAAAUACUCUCCCAACUAGCUUCUCUCUUUAUUUAUCAGGUGUAAUUAAGAUCUCAACUAGCUAGUCUUUGAAUAAUUAUAUCGUUUGUUUUCUUAUUGCUUGUUACAGGGAAAAAUUAUCACAAGUAGAAAGCUUACUUCUACAUAUAUCAAGCAUAUAAAAAUAUGGCUUCCACUUCUUCUCCCACUACUCCAUAUUUGAAGCUUGAUGUGUUCCUCAGUUUUAGAGGCACAGACACCCGCAAUAGUUUCACCAGUCAUCUUUAUGAUGCUUUGGAUCGAAACCAAAUUGAUGCUUACAUCGAUAAUAAACUUGAUGGAGGAGAAAAGAUCGAGCCUGCCCUCUUGGAAAGGAUUGAAGAGUCAUGUAUUUCGCUAGUCAUUUUCUCUGAAAAUUAUGCAGAUUCUACUUUCUGUUUGAGGGAACUCUCCAAGAUUCUUGAGUGCAUGGAGACCAAACAACAGGUGGUGUUACCAGUUUUUUACCGACUUGAUCCAAGCAAUGUUCAAAAUCUGACUGGGAGCUAUGGAGAUGCACUUUGCAAGCAUGAAAGAGAUUGCAGUUCUCAAGAAGUAGAGAGUUGGAGACGUGCUUUGAAAGAAAUAGCUAAUCUCAAGGGCUGGGAUUCAAACGUCAUUAAGUAAGUUAUUAAUUUAGUUACAGCAUAUUAAACCCCAACUUAUUUAAACCAUUUUGUUCGAGAAUCAAUAUCGUGUUUGAUGUUAUGAUAAAAUUUCUUAGGUUAUGACAGCAUGUCUUUGUUCUUUAUUUACUAUGCACUGCAGGGAUGAGACCAAGCUAAUUCAGGAAAUCGUUACUGACAUUCAAAAGAAAUUGAACCAUGAGCUGUCACCCUCAUUUGAUUCAAAACGCCUUGUUGGAAUGAAAUCACGCGUUGAAGACAUCGAAUCAUUACUAUCCUUUGGAUCAACCGGUGUGCUCAUCGUGGGAAUCUGGGGGAUGGGUGGUAUAGGUAAGUCCACAACUGCUGAAACUGUGUAUCAUCGAAACUGUAGUAAAUUUGAAGGCCAUUGCUGUUUCCAAGAUGUUAGGGAAGAAUCACGGAAGCAUGGAGUAGAUCAUGUACGACAGGAAAUUCUUGGCAAGGUAUUAGAGAAGAAUGAUCUCAAAAUACACGGAAAAGUGCUACCCUCGGCCAUUAAGCGAAUGCUUCAAAGAAAAAAAGUCCUCAUAGUUCUUGAUGAUGUCAAUGAUCCACAACAUUUAAAAUAUUUAGUAGGAGAGGAUGGUUUGUUUGGCCAAGGAAGUAGAAUCAUGGUGACAAGUAGAGAUAGGCGAGUUCUUGAAAAUGCAUGUGAUGAAGACAGAAUUUACGAGGUUAAAAUUUUAGAUGAAGACGAUGCACUUCGACUCUUUAGCCUACAUGCUUUUAAACAAGAUCGUCCCAUAGAAGAAUAUAUUGGGCUAUCAAAAACUGUGGUAAGCUGUGUUAAGGGCAUUCCAUUAGUUCUCGAGGUUUUAGGUAGCAGUCUAUACAAAAAGACUGGUGUUGAAUACUGGGAAAGUAAGGUGGCACAGCUAAGAACAAAUGGUGGCGAGGACAUUAAGAAACAUUUGGAAAUGUGCUAUCAUGAAUUAGAUCAGACAGAAAAGAAAAUAUUUCUUGAUAUAGCAUGUUUCUUUGGACGGUGCAAGAAGGAUUUUCUCCAGCAAACACUAGAUCUUGAAGAAAGAAGUGGGAUAGAUCGUCUCGCUGAUAUGUGUCUCAUAAAAAUUGUUCAAGACAAGAUCAAGAUGCAUGAUGUGCUCCUAAAACUAGGGAAAAAAAUUGUCCUCCAAGAAAACGUUGACCCUAGAGAACGUAGCAGGUUGUGGGAGGCUGAUGAUAUCUAUCGUGUAUUAACAACUCAGGUAACGUUUCCAAGUGAUUUAAUUGGCUGUUUCUUGACUUUCUUGUUUAUAGCUAAGAGAUGUAGCCUUGAACAAGAAUAAAUAUCAAGGCCAGCUUCUUCUUUCUUCUUCUUUAUUUGUUAUAUAUAUACUGAUUUACAGUUUGCUUUAAUUUGUUAAAUAGGGGACUGGAUCAAAAGUGGAAAGCAUAUCCCUCAUCUUGGAUGCAACUAAAGAUCAAUUGACAUUAACUCCUACAGCAUUUGAAGGGAUGUAUAAUUUAAGAUUGCUCAAAAUCUACAACCCACCUUUCUUAAAGGAUCCCUCAAAGGAGCAAAUUAUGAAUGGAAAGAGGGUCGGAAUCCACCUUCCACGAGGGCUUCACUUUCUGUCAAGUGAGCUAAGGUUUCUCUAUUGGUAUAAUUACCCUUUGAAAUCCUUUCCAUCAAUUUUUUUCCCUGAGAAACUUGUUCAACUUGAAAUGCCUUGUAGCCAGCUUGAACAACUUUGGAAUGAAGGCCAGGUAUGCUUUAUCAUCCUUCUUUUUCGAAUAUAGGACAUUUUUGAAAUUAUUCAUAACGCUUAUCUUUUCUUACAUUGCCUCUUUUUUUAUUUACAGCCACUUGAGCAGUUGAAAUCUCUUAAAUCACUUAAUCUUCAUGGUUGCUCAAGACUAGCAAGUCUACCACAUAGUAUUGGCAUGUUGAAAUCUCUUGACCAGCUUGAUCUUAGUGGUUGCUCAAGUCUAACAAGUCUACCGAAAAACAUUGACGCGUUAAAAUCUCUAAAAUUGCUUAAUCUUAGUGGUUGCUCAAGACUAGCAAGUCUACCAAAUAGUAUUGGCGUGUUGAAAUCUCUUGACCAGCUUGAUCUUAGUGGUUGCUCAAGACUAGCAAGUCUACCAGACAGUAUUGGCGCAUUGAAAUCUCUUAAAUCACUUAAUCUUAGUGGUUUCUCAAGACUAGCAAGUCUACCAAAAAGCAUUGGCAUGUUGAAAUCUCUUGACCAAUUUGAUCUUAGUGAUUGCUCACGACUAGCAAGUCUACUAGAAAGCAUUGGCGCGUUCAAAUCUCUUAAAUCACUUAAUCUUAGUGGUUGCUCAAGACUAGCAAGUCUACCAAAUAGCAUUGGCAUGUUGAAAUCUCUUAAAUUGCUUAAACUUCAUGGUUGCUCAGGACUAGCAAGUUUACCAGACAACAUUGGCGAGUUGAAAUCUCUUACAUCGUUUAAUCUUAGUGGUUGCUCAGGACUAGCAAGUCUACCUGACAGCAUUGGGGUGUUGAAAUGUCUUGCUAAACUUCACCUUACUGGUUGCUCAGGACUCGCAAGUUUACCAGACAGCAUUGACAAAUUGAAAUGUCUUGAUACGCUUCAUCUUAGUGGUUGCUCAAGACUAGCAAUUCUACCCAACAACAUUGGCGCAUUGAAAUCUCUUUACCAGCUUCAUCUUAGUGGUUGCUCAAGACUAGAAAGUCUACCCGACAGCAUUGGAGGGUUGGAAUGUCUUGCUAAGCUUCACCUUACUGGUUGCUCAGGACUAACAAGUCUACCAGACAGCAUUGACAGGUUGAAAUGUCUUGAUACACUUCAUCUUAGUGGUUGCUCAGGACUAGCAAAUCUACCAAACAAUAUUAACAGUUUGAACUAUCUUAUUGUGCUUAAUCUUUGUGGUUUCUCAAGACUAGCAAGUCUACCAAACAACAUUGGCGAGUUGAAAUCUCUUAAAUUGCUUUAUCUUAGUGGUUGCUCAAGACUAGCAAGUCUACCAGAUAGAAUUGAUGAGUUGAAAUCUCUUAAAUCGCUUAAUCUUAAUGGUUGCUCACUAGCAAAGUCUACCAGACAGAAUUGGCGAGUUGAAAUCUCUUGAAUGGCUUAAUCUUCAUGAUUGCUCAGGACUAACAAGUCUACCAGAUAGAAUUGUCGAGUUGAAAUCUCUUAAAUCCCUUAAUCUUAAUGGAUGCUCAAGACUAGAAAGUCUACCAGACAACAUUGGCGAGUUGAGAUGUCUUACUAUGCUUAAUCUUAGUGGUUGCUUAAAACUAACAAGUCUACCCAAUAGCAUUGGUACGUUGAAAAGGCUUUAUGCGCUUCACCUUACUGGUUGCUCAGGACUAGAAAGUCUACCAGACAGCAUUGACGAGUUGAGAUGUCUUACUACGCUCGAUCUUAGUGGUUGCUUAAAACUAGCGAGUCUUCCAAACAACAUCAUUGAUCUUGAAUUUAAAGGACUUGACAAACAGCAUUGUUAUAUGUUGAGUGGAUUCCAGAAAGUAGAAGAAAUUGCAUCAUCCACCUAUAAAUUAGGCUGCCAUGAAUUUUUAAAUUUGGGAAAUUCUCGUGUGUUAAAAACUCCAGAGAGAUUAGGCUCUUUGGUGUGGCUAACAGAAUUAAGAUUAUCUGGGAUUGAUUUUGAGAGGAUACCUGCCAGCAUCAAGCACCUUACUAAGCUAAGUAAACUCUAUUUAGAUGAUUGCAAGCGGCUUCGAUGUUUACCAGAGCUUUCAUCGACUCUACAAGUUUUAAUCGCAUCAGGUUGUAUCUCUCUAAAAUCUGUAGCAAGUAUAUUCAUGCAAGGUGAUAGAGAAUAUGAUGCUGCUUCUCAGGAAUUCAAUUUCUCUGGAUGCCUCCAACUAGAUCAAAAUUCACGCACUAGAAUUAUGAGUGCUACCCGUUUACGAAUUCAACGCAUGGCAACAUCAUUGUUUUCUCAAGUGAAUUCUUCCUCCCUUGAUCUUGAUUUAUUUAAAAAAAAUCAUGAUAAUUUUUUAUAUGUAUCUCACAUUCUCACUCUCUUCGGUGCAGGAAUAUCAUGGUAAGCCCAUUAGAGUUCGGUUGUGUAUUCCUGGGUCGGAAGUCCCGGAGUGGUUUAGUUAUAAGAAUAGAGAAGGAUCGUCAGUAAAAAUCCGGCAACUAGCUCAUUGGUAUCGUCGUUUCACUUUAUGCGCUGUUGUUUCAUUUGGCCAAAGCGGGGAAAGGCGUCCCGUUAAUAUUAAAUGUGAAUGCCAUUUGAUAAGCAAAGAUGGAACCCAGAUUGAUCUCAGUUCCUACUUCUAUGAAAUAUAUGAAGAAAAGGUGAGGAGUUUAUGGGAAAGGGAGCAUGUGUUCAUUUGGAGUGUCCACUCUAAGUGCUUUUUCAAGGAGGCCUCGUUUCAAUUCAAAUCACCGUGGGGAGCUACUGAUGUGGUGGUUGGGUGUGGAGUCCAUCCAAUGUUGGUCAACGAGCCUGAGCAACCAAUCCCUAAAACUGAUGGAAAAUGCUUGACAAACUCUUAAUCAUCUUCUAUUUGAAAGGGCAACGUGAUGCUAUGGAUGCAUGGUUUCGCUCGUUGACACUGGUAACUCAUGAUCUUCUCCUUUCUUUUUCUAUACAAAUAUGAGGCAACUCAAUUGGAUUGAAUCAAACAUGAAACCAAAUACUCUUAUGAAUUAGAGAUGAAAAGGAUAUAUUUAUCCUCCUACUUUAACAUGAUUCUUAACCAGGUCCCCGAACAAACAAAAUAAUAAUUAUAAAAAAAAAUUAAAUUAAGUUUUGACUCGGGUUAUUUUUUGUUUUUUUAAUAGAUUUUUUCUCAACUUCAUCUUUCAACAUUGAGUUGAUUAAAAAUUUAAAUUUAUGUAUUUUUUAUUGGCUUUCUACUGGGUUAUUGUAGUCUCAAGACCCGGGUCACAAGUUUGCGGGUUAGCAAGGUUGGCUUGAGUUUUUUUUUUUUUUUUUAAUUGAAUUUUUUUUUUCAUUUUCAUCCUUCAACAUUGGGUUGAUUGAAAAUUUGACUUAAUAUUUUAUUUUAUUUUAUUCUAUAUAUUUAUCUUGGUCUCAUAAUCCGAGUUUGGCAAGUUAACUUAAGUUGACUCAAGAUGUUUUUUUAAUUGAUUCUUUUCAAUUGAAUCCUUUAACAUUUGGUUGAUUGAAAAUUGUGCUUUGAAAUUUUUUUUCUAUAGGAUUAUCAUGGUCUCAUGACCCGGGUCGAUGGUUAGCUCGAUUGCCUCAAGUUUUUUUGUGUUCUUUUUAAAUGCAUAUGUUUUUCAAUUUCAUCCAUUAAUAUUGGGUUAAUUGAGAAUUAGGCUUCAUAAUUUAUUUUAGUUUGCUUUCUAUGAAGAUAUCCCGAUAACAUGACUCGGGUCACAGGUUUCGUUUGUUAACUCGGUUUGUUUUUUCGUGUUUCUUGUUAAUUGUUUUUUUUAACAAUUUUAUUCUUCAACAUUAGGCUGAUUGUGAAUUCAGUUUCCUUAUUUUGAUCUGACGAGCAUUGUAGCACGGGAAAUUAUCUAGUAUUAACCAUAAAAUAAAAGAGGAGAGGUUUUUAUUGUACCUCUCCUCACAAAGCACUAUUCAUUGGACUAAUGAUUUGCUUUUUUUUUUCUUUGCUUUUUUUUUUCAAUCAAUGUUUUUUUUUUAGUUUUAUCCUUCAAUUUUAAAUUUAUUUUUUUAUAAAGUUAUCUCACUCUCAUAACAAAAAUCGCUAGUUUGAUACAUGUCAAAUCAUGUUGACCAGGGUAAAAAUGAGUUUCAAACCGUUUUGGGUCAAAACUAUCAUUUUCAAUCAAAUUAGGUUUAUUGAGAUAACUUUUACACAAUUUAAUUUUAAAUCAAAAUCAGACAAGAAGUUAGGUUUGAAGGUUUUUUUUUCUUAAUUUUAUUUUUUUUAAUUUUAUCCUUAUAUUUUUUUACAGGAUAACGGGGAUGCCUUUGAACUUUAAUUUUAAACUUAGGUUAGGUAAAAAGUCAGAUUAAGAAAAUUUUAAAUUGAAUCAUUAGGCUGAAUUUAAUAAAAAUAUCAAGUAGUUCUCAACGACUUGAAUACUUUUUAUUAUAUUAAAAAAUAAUUAUACAGCCUCCAGCAAACUAAUAAAUAAUAUUUAGAAGACUUCGGAGUAAUUUAUAAGUAAUUAAAGUAGAAAUAGAAAAACAAAACAAAAAAAAUCUAAAUGGGCUUCGAUCUGUUACCAAUCAGACCAUACCAGUACAUAACCCAAAACCAAAGGCCGAAUUCAUUCUAUCUAUCCAAGCCGAAGGCCCAACUCUACCAUUUCAAAUUAAAACGCUCCGUCCCUCCCAAUCCCAAACCUAAACAAACAACAUCAUAUAGCCGUUAGAAACCAACAGCUCCCAUUUCAAGCUUCAAAUUCCCAAUUUUAAACCCUAAAAAUCUUUCACCUUUCUAAUUUUCUCCCUCUCUCAAUUUCAAGCCCUAAAACAUGAACGGUACUCCCAUCUAUUUCUCUGUAUCGAUCGAUACGCAUAAAUUGAAUUAUUUUAUUUUAUUUUUAUGGUUCUUGUUUUAUAGAUCGAAAUUGUUUGAUUUCUCUCAGAUCUGACAGUCCAAAUGAUUGAAGAGAUAUGCGAUCGUUCAAGACCGUUCAAAUUUCCGAUUCCAGCCCUUCUCUCUCUUCGACCACAGGUUAGAAGAAGUAGCUUCACUUUGUUUAAUUAAUAUUUCUCUGAAAUUGAUUUUUUAAAAAAAUUUCAGUUGAAUCUGUAGAAGAUAAGAAAUUCGAUACAGGUUCUUGUUUUUAUAAAAAUAUAUAUAUUAGAAAUUAUUUGUUUAAGUACUGAUUAUCAGUUUAUUUUUUUAUAUUUUUUGCUUCUGCUUAGACUUAGAAAUUGUAAUUUUGAAUUAUUUAAUUUUAUUUGUUAUUGAAUUUAAUUGUUUAUUUAUCUUUUUAAUUCUAGGGUUUCUAAAAUUUUUAAAGUCGUUUUUAAUCAAGAGAAAAAAAGAGAGUUAAAUUGAGUCAAAUUCGGUGCUGUAGAACUGUAGACAUUUGUAUUUUAUAUUGAAAUUGUUUUGACUGAAAAAGGUUAUUUUGAUUUUAAUGAGUUUUCAGGAGAAACUAUUAAUUCGGAGGAGGAGAGCGUAUCAAAUAGAAUUCGACAAGUUUACCCAUCUCAGGGGCCAACACCGCCCAUUUUGCAGAAAAUUAUCAAUUUAAGUGAUAAAAUUCAGGUACUUAUUUUGAACUUUGGUGUUGUUGGGUAUCGUAUAGAUGACUUGAAAAGACUUGGUUUUAGUUGUAGAAUUCAGGCAAUUUUAAAUUUCAUUGUUUUAGCUAGUAAAUUAGGAUUUUGCAUUAUUAUGUUGAUGGGGGUAUUGAUUUGUUUUCUUUCUUUGAAUUUAAUUGUUGUUGUUUCAGAAUUUGAAGAAAGAACACUCAAAUCUCUCUAAUCAAGUAAAGACUGCCAAGGAUUCCUUUCUUGGCCCCAAUAUUUUAGACACCCUUCAAAAACUCGGUGAGUAUCCAAUAGUGAAACUAAUUUAUUUCUUCUUUUCAUUUUUUAUUUUUUUUUGAGGGGUUUGGUUUGAUAGUUUACUAGUUGAAAUAUUGGUCAGGUAAUGAAUAUGAACUUCUUAAAAAGAAGUAUCUACAAGAGUUGUCUGAGAGGAAGAGGCUUUACAAUGAGGUGAUCGAGCUUAAAGGGAAUAUUAGGGUCUUCUGUAGAUGCAGACCACUAAAUCAAGUCGAAAUAACAAAUGGUUCGAACUAUGUAGUUGAAUUUGACUCUUCCCAAGAUAAUGAGUUGCAGAUCAUUUCCUCUGAUUCUUCCAAAAAGCAAUUUAAGUUCGACCAUGUUUUUGGGCCUGAGGAUAAUCAAGGUGAUCUGAUGUUUUAUUUUAUGUAUUGCUACUGCAGCCAUCCUGUUAAAGAUUAUUUGUGCAAUUGAAGCAUCUAAUCCUUUGUCUCUAUGAUAUGCAGAGGCUGUUUUUGCACAAACUAAACCAAUAGUCGCUUCAGUUUUGGAUGGCUACAAUGUCUGCAUAUUCGCCUAUGGACAAACUGGAACUGGAAAGACGUUUACUAUUGAGGGCAGCCCAGAAAAUAGGGGAGUGAACUACAGAACAUUAGAUGAGUUGUUCCGAGUUUCUCAAGAGAGAAGUGGCAUUAUGAGAUAUGGUCUUUUUGUUAGUAUGAUGGAGGUUUACAAUGAGAAGAUAAGGGACCUCUUGAUUGAUAGUUCCAACCAACCGCCUAAAAAGUUAGUUUCCUCUUUUAUUGCUACUGUAUUGAUCUGAUAAUCAAAAUAUAGUCAUUUAUGUUGAAUUUUUUGGUUGCGAAAAUUUUAUAUUAAUAAUUUUCUGUAGCUCUGAUUUAUAUCAUUUUGCUACUAGAUGAUAAUUAACUAUUGGUUAGUACAAACAUCAUGCGUGUGGCUAUUUGACAAGAAAAGUGGAACAUGGAAGUUCUGUAUUAGCCCAAUUUUCAUUUGAGCACUCUAUCUGCAAAUGAUAAUAAAUUCCUUGCUCCUCUCUAGUGUAGAUAAGCAUGACAUCUAAUUGGGUUUAGGGUUUAAAAGAUUAUGUACAAGACUCCUAUUUGGAAGCCCAUUGGUAUGAAAGAUUUAAAGUCUAACGAUAAGAAAUUGAGUUACAUGAAUGAAGUUUGAUGAAAUUUUAGUUUUUCUUACAUGCAUAAAGGUUGGAGAUAAAACAAACAGCUGAAGGAACACAAGAAGUCCCAGGACUUGUUGAAACUCGGGUGACUGUCACAGAGGAUGUGUGGGAUUUACUCAAGUCUGGAAGUCGGGCCAGGUCUGUUGGAUCAACCAGCGCUAAUGAGCUUAGCAGCCGUUCUCAUUGGUAAAAAUGAACUCUGCUUUCUUUUCUUGGUUUAUUCUUUCUAAGAAUAUACUUUAUGGAUCACAUAUAAUAGCAAAUUAACUAGUUUUUUGUAUCUGUGAAUUAACUAUUCAAGAAAUAUACUGAUUAAUUGAAGUGGUAGUACUAAUGACCACAACAUUGUUGGUCCGUAAUUUGUUGCGAGUAACAGUGAAAGGAGAGAAUUUAAUAGAUGGACAAAAGACAAGAAGUCACCUAUGGAUGGUCGAUUUGGCUGGUAGUGAACGUGUGGGAAAGAUUGAUGUUGAAGGUAAAAGAUUGAAGGAAUCGCAAUUCAUUAAUAAAUCUCUUUCAGCACUUGGUGAUGUUAUAUCUGCCCUCGCAUCUAAAACUGGCCACAUUCCUUACAGGUCUUUCUCUCACACAGUCACUCUUGUAAAAUGCUAUCCAAUUACCAUAUUAAUGAAGAUAUCUGUUUUCUUCCGAUCAGGAACUCAAAGCUAACCCAUAUGCUACAGAGCUCUCUCGGUGAGUAUUAAGUUUACUAUUUUUUAUGGUUGCUAGUCACUCUUAUUGUCUUGUUUGUCAGUAAAUGACGCUAAGUGAAACAUGAAUGCAGGAGGAGAUUGUAAGACCUUGAUGUUUGUCCAAAUAAGUCCAAGUGCUACUGACCUUGGAGAGACGCUUUGUUCACUAAAUUUUGCGAGUCGAGUGCGAGGAAUUGAAAGUGGUCCUGCCCGCAAACAGGCUGAUCUCACUGAACUUUUCAAAUACAAGCAAAUGGUAUACAUAUACUGCUAGUAUUUGAUGAAAUUUCUUUUGUCUCAGUUUCUUUUAUCUUGAUUCACAUUUUCUUUCCUUCUUUCUUUCCUUUUUUAAUUACAAAUAAUCAGGUAGAAAAGUUAAAGCAUGAUGAGAAGGAAACAAAGAAGUUGCAGGAUAGCUUUCAAUCAUUGCAAUUGAGGCUUGCUGCUAGAGAACAUAUCUGCAGAACUCUCCAAGAAAAGGUAAUUAUGAUGGCUUGAGCUCCAUUUAAUGCUUUUUUAUUUAUUUAUUAUUACUAUGAAACAUGUGGAAAAUUUAUUGGAGCUGUUUUUUCGUUUUUCUUUUGCUUUUAUUGUCCCUUAAAUGGCAUUUUUAAGUCAUUUUGUAGACUAACAAAUAACUUUUCUUACAAUAGGUUCGAGAGCUUGAGAAUCAGUUAGGUGAGGAAAGAAAAACUAGACUAAAGCAGGAAACACGAGCCUUCGCCGCUGAUGCUUCUCAGUCUACGAAACAAGUAGUAGAGAACAGAAAAGUAGAUAAGAAGCCACCUCUGUGUCCUUCAAAGUUGAGGAUGCCGUUGCGAAAAAUCACCAAUUUCAUGCCUCCGCCACCUCUACAAAAACAGAAAACUGGUUCUGUUUUAUCUUCAAUACAUGACAAAGAAAACAAUCCAAGAACCACAAAUGCAGGAGCAAAUACAAAAAGCCUUAUGAAACCCAGACGUAUGUCUGCUGCAGUCAGACCUCCUCCUCCAAUGUCAGCACAGGUUUUUCAGCCUAAGAGACGGGUAUCCAUUGCUACCUAUCGUUCAGAGCCAACCUCAAACAUGACUACACCACUUCAAACCUCGCGAUAUAAAAAUGGGAAUGUAGUUGGCAGGCAGUCAUUUGUCAGGGACACAAGAAAGCCAAGGAAUUCAAAGCUGUUCUCUCCAUUGCCAGAGUUCAGGACUGC